rnacentral:rRNA from 1 species
GACACGCUGGCGGCGUGCCUAACACAUGCAAGUCGAGCGGAGGAUAGGCGGAAGGUAACUGAAGCUUAUCUUAGCGGCGGACGGGUGAGUAACACGUGGGCAACCUGCCUUGAAGUGGGGGAUAACACCGGGAAAUCGGUGCUAAUACCGCAUAACAUACACAAACUGCAUGGUGAGUGUAUCAAAGGAGCAAUCCGCUUUAAGAUGGGCCCGCGGCUGAUUAGCUAGUUGGUAAGGUAACGGCUUACCAAGGCGACGAUCAGUAGCCGACCUGAGAGGGUGACCGGCCACACUGGAACUGAGACACGGUCCAGACUCCUACGGGAGGCAGCAGUGGGGAAUAUUGCGCAAUGGGGGGAACCCUGACGCAGCAACGCCGCGUGGAGGAAGAAGGUCUUCGGAUUGUAAACUCCUGUCUUCUGGGACGAAUAAUGACGGUACCAGAGGGGGAAGCCACGGCUAACUACGUG